rnacentral:rRNA from 1 species
GACGAACGCUGGCGGCGUGCCUAAUACAUGCAAGUCGAACGAAGCUGUUUUAACUGGUGCUUGCACCGACUUAAACAACUGAGUGGCGAACGGGUGAGUAACACGUGGGUAACCUGCCCCAAGGCGGGGGAUAACAUUUGGAAACAGAUGCUAAUACCGCAUAACCACAGAAACCACAUGGUUUCUGUGUCAAAGAUGGUUUCGGCUAUCACUUUGGGAUGGACCCGCGGCGUAUUAGCUAGUUGGUAAGGUAAUGGCUUACCAAGGCAAUGAUACGUAGCCGAACUGAGAGGUUGAUCGGCCACAUUGGGACUGAGACACGGCCCAAACUCCUACGGGAGGCAGCAGUAGGGAAUCUUCCACAAUGGACGAAAGUCUGAUGGAGCAACGCCGCGUGGGUGAAGAAGGUUUUCGGAUCGUAAAACUCUGCUGUCAGAGAAGAACGUGUGCGAGAGUAACUGCUCGUGCAGUGACGGUAUCUGGCCAGAAAGCCACGGCUAACUACGUGCCAGCAGCCGCAGUAA